CAGCAAACAGCUGGAUUAUAGCGAUGAAGCGAUCUGUGAGUGGCAGUGGGACAAUUAGAGACGGAAGGAAUCUUGGAAUGUGAUCGUGUUCCCAACAAAUGUUACUGAUGUAUUAUGCUUCGUAGUUUUGCUCACGUGGAAUACGUAACCAAUGGAAAAACCUAGGCCAUGUGGUUGUAAAGGGAUCAGAACUUGCUUAAUAUGUGAGAGAGAAUUUGGAAUUCCUAAGAAGGAUUUAAAACCCCCCAAGGGCUGCAAAAGCUACAUAUACUGUGCUUUCUGUAACAAAGCAUGGGAAGGCUCAUGUAUGAAAGACUACAAAACUCAUUCAGCCCAUGAAGGAGAUGCUAUUGAAUUCCCAGGAAUAUAUAUACAGCUUGAUUUCUUGACACCAGAAGAAGAAGCAAUCUUAAUUAAUGGCAUUGAUGAAAUGCCAUGGGAUUUAUCUCAGAGUGGCCGUAGAAAGCAGAAUUUUGGACCAAAGUGUAAUUUUAAGAAGAAGCGUCUGCAGUUGAGCGAGUUUAAUGGUUUCCCGGAAUUCACAAAGUUUGUGCAAGAGCGUUUUGAAACUGUACCAUUAUUAUCAGGGUAUAAAACCAUUGAACAGUGCUCCUUGGAAUAUGAUCCAAUACGUGGUGCAUCAAUUGAUCCUCAUAUUGAUGACUGCUGGAUAUGGGGUGAGCGUAUUGUUACUGUUAAUCUUCUGUCAGACAGUAUGUUGACAUUUACAAAAUACAGAGGGGAUAUUAAGCGAUAUAAUUUGUGCUGCGCAUUUGAGUAUCGUCCAGUUGUCCUUGGUCCUCUAGACUGUUGUGAACAAGAAGAUUGUGUAGUUCGUGUACCCAUGCCAAAGCGCUCUCUGUUGGUGAUUUAUGGUCCAGCACGGUAUGGUUGGGAACACUGUGUUUUACGUGAAGACAUUUCAGAAAGAAGGGUGUGUAUUGCUUAUCGGGAGUUCACUCCACCAUAUCUUAAAGGUGGGCAACAUGAAGAGAAGGGAAGUGAAAUUUUGAAUGCUGCCAACAAUUUCUGGGACCAUAGGAUAAUGUCACAGGAAUCAUGAUCAUGGGCACAGAAGCUCUUACAUUUUACCUCCAAGAAGAGAGAAAAUUUAUACACAGAAAAAUGGAAAUGGGCCUAUCUUAAGGUGAUUCUGGAAUGAUUUACUGGCCUGAAAUAUGCAUCACUGAAGUGCUUCACAACAUUGUUUUGUGGGGCAGUAAUAUGGUGUUUUAUUUUUAAUCCUGUCAGCAUUGUAUCACGGCUUUCAACUACCUCACUAGAGGAUAAAAUCACUGCUGGAAUUAGGAACGUGGCACAGAAACAGAAAGGAAGAGAAAAAGUUCUGCAUGACAACUCUCACUCUGUGGACAUCAAACCAAAUAGCUAUUAGCAUAGAUUCCUGGAGAACUUCAGAAUUUAAAAAUUUGCAUGACAAUGCUACUUUUAAUUAAGUCUACACUUAUCUACUA